AACGCUAGCUACAGGCUUAACACAUGCAAGUCGAGGGGCAGCAUCAUCAAAGCUUGCUUUGAUGGAUGGCGACCGGCGCACGGGUGAGUAACACGUAUCCAACCUGCCGACAACACUGGGAUGGCCUUUCGAAAGAAAGAUUAAUACCGGAUGGCAUAAUUAUUCCGCAUGGGAUAAUUAUUAAAGAAUUUCGGUUGUCGAUGGGGAUGCGUUCCAUUAGGCAGUUGGCGGGGUAACGGCCCACCAAACCAACGAUGGAUAGGGGUUCUGAGAGGAAGGUCCCCCACAUUGGAACUGAGACACGGUCCAAACUCCUACGGGAGGCAGCAGUGAGGAAUAUUGGUCAAUGGACGAGAGUCUGAACCAGCCAAGUAGCGUGAAGGAUGACUGCCCUAUGGGUUGUAAACUUCUUUUAUACGGGAAUAAAGUGAGCCACAUGUGGUUUUUUGUAUGUACCGUAUGAAUAAGGAUCGGCUAACUCCGUGCCAGCAGCCGCGGUAAUACGGAGGAUCCGAGCGUUAUCCGGAUUUAUUGGGUUUAAAGGGAGCGUAGGCGGGUUGUUAAGUCAGUUGUGAAAGUUUGCGGCUCAACCGUAAAAUUGCAGUUGAUACUGGCGACCUUGAGUGCAACAGAGGUAGGCGGAAUUCGUGGUGUAGCGGUGAAAUGCUUAGAUAUCACGAAGAACUCCGAUUG
rnacentral:rRNA from 1 species